CUGAAUCAAUCAGGAACAGUAAUUCAUGGAAAAGGAGGUAUGCAUCCACGCAUGGUUUUGUGAUUUCCGCGGAUGCUCAUGCAAACUGAUUGCUUCGUGUUCCUAAUUCCAUUGGUAGUGCUUAUCUAAUAAUCUAUACGUUCUGUAGGCUGAUCGUUGAUGUAUCUUUUGCCCCGUUGCAUGCAAGUGCCCACCGCACGGCGGCGGCGAUGUCAUGUACAGGUGCAUAUGUCCAAUCGUUUGACUGCUUCAGCCCCGGCAUGACGACGACUACAUACGACAUCCCAUGGGUGACUGCUCCGACGGCGGUGACGGCGACGAAGAUAAACUUAGCACAUUCCACCUGGCGGCCCCAUGAUGACGAACAACCGCCGACGGCUGACGGGUGACUCUUCUAAUAUCGUGGGCGGUGGCAACAACGACGAAACGACUGCACACGGCCGACCGACGACUCCUCCGGCUUCAGCGCCCGUCAAAGAUUUGCUUGUACUAUAUACUCCAUACUCCGAUGUGUAUAUAUAUCAAGCCGAUUAUGGAGUUAUAUGUCUGUAUACGUGCAUGCUAAUGCAUGCAUCACCACCAGUCAAUGAAUCUGCCUGUUCAAAUUCUUUUGGCUAGUAUAUGCAACUGCGUGCAGGAUAUGUACAUAGAUAUUCAUUCUGCACUACAAAUGCACGCAUUUUUGUUCAAAAUAUAUUCUACCUGGUCAUGUGGAGAGAACAGAACAAAU
rnacentral:lncRNA from 1 species